CGGGAACUGAACUCAGGACCUUGCACUUGCCAGGCAGGCACUAUACCACUGAGCUAUAUCCCUGGCAGCCUUGGGAUUUCAGCACAUGAUAGGAUGGCUGCUGUCACCCCAGCGAAGGGAAGGGGUUCACCCCAUGCCCGGUGAAUGCUCGCCACCACUCCCCUGCCCUUCUCCCGGGAGAUCCAGAUACGUCAGGCUGCAGGGAGUUUGAACCUGAAAUGAGCCAGAUAAUUGCCCCAAUUCUCUGAUCCUUAUUGAAGAGGUAGUUACAGGCCCAGGGGUUCAAGGGGCCUCACUUUUAUGGACAUCGGUCUAAGUCAAAAGAAUACAUUACACACAGGCAGGCUGACUCACACCCCUAACCCUGACUGGGGCUCUGAGAACAAAGCGGGCCUCCUCCCCCUCUUGCCCUCCC
rnacentral:lncRNA from 1 species